rnacentral:ncRNA from 6 species
GGCGGGAGUAACUAUGACUCUCU